GGAUAGGGGUUUGAUAUAGGGGAGAGUGGUGGUAGAACGUGGAGAAUGGUGAUUGCACUGAUAGGUAAACAUAGGGGGCUCUUCCGUAGGUUGACUUAACUAUAGAAAAAUUUUUCGUAAGUUUGCUUAACUAGAAUAGUUGUUGGAUGGUCUUUUAUGCAUAUACAUACAUAUAUAUUAGUGUAAUUGAAUCAAUUCUUCCGCCUCCGUUAGUUUUGAUGAUUUCCGCUACUGUUUCAAAUUAGUUUCAAAGGAGUUUUUUGUAGUUUAGCUUAACCACAGGAGAUUUUUCUGUAUUUUACCCUGGAGAAAAUAUUGAUAACAAAACAUCACAUAAUAUUUUCAUGUAGCAUAAGUUAACAAUACAAUUUGGUAUGGCUAGAAUAAGAUUGCAAAUGGACAAAUACGGAAUUAGCAAAUUUUCUCACAGCACUUAAAUAUGAACAUAAGUUUGGAGUGGAAAUGGAGUUCACACCUGUAAAAAUGUUUCCCCCAAGAGAUAAAUCCUUGAGCUUGACCAAGUAUCCAAGUGUUCUUGGAAUCUGACCAUUGAACUGAUUGUAGGACAGUGACAAAUGCUCAAGGUCUCUGCAAUUAUAUAACUUAGAUGGAAUUGAACCUUGAAGCUGAUUGACUGAAAGGUUCAGUCCUUUGAUCUGUUUCAACUGAUGGUUGCAGAUAUCUAAUGGGAGACUACCAGAUAAGCUAUUCUCUGCAAAGUCGAUUUCUUCCAAGGAUAUAUUGAAGAUGCCAGAUGGUAUGGACCCGGUAAGCUGGUUACCUCUUAAAGUUAAUGUCCUCAAGUUGGAAAGAUUUCCAAUCCCUUUUGGAAUAUUUCCUUCCAAUAAAUUGUACCCAGAUUCAGUUUCUCCAGAUUUGAGAUAUUCCC
rnacentral:lncRNA from 1 species